GACGCACGCUGGCGGCGUGCCUAAUACAUGCAAGUCGAACGAGUGGCGGACGGGUGAGUAAUGUCUGGGAAACUGCCCGAUGGAGGGGGAUAACUACUGGAAACGGUAGCUAAUACCGCAUACCAUCGGAUGUGCCCAGAUGGGGUUAGCUAGUAGGUUGGGUAACGGCUCACCUAGGCGACGAUCCCUAGCUGGGCUGAGAGGAUGGCCAGCCACACUGGAACUUAGAAACGUUCCAGACGCCUCCGGGAGGCAGCAGUGGGGAAUAUUGCACAAUGGGCGCAAGCCUGAUGCAGCCAUGCCGCGUGUAUGAAGAAGGCCUUCUGGUUGUAAAGUACUUUCAGCGAGGAGGCGUUACUCGCAGAAGAAGCACCGGCUAACUCCGUGCCAGCAGCCGCGGUAAUUC
rnacentral:rRNA from 1 species